AGGUCAACUUUUAAUUUUAAAAAUUAUAACGCCAAAGCGAUAUAUCCAAAUAUAACAAAGCUCCUUACUAGCCAACGAGUUGGUAAAACCUAUUACGUUGUAAAAAGAAAGCUUCAAACUGGAUAUUGCUUCUUGCCAAAUCAAUUUCAAACUAUUUUCUAUUUUGCAACAGAAAAAUAUAAGUUCAAUACUAAAUCAAACGAUUUAAGAGUGAAAUGACGCUCAAACAGGUAUGCCCUUUGGAAUUACCAAAAGGCGCAAUGUGCGUUCAAAGAUUCGAUGAUUCACAAUUCUGCAAUUCACAUUACUUAUCGCAAUUCGCUGCGUUCUUCAUCGAUGCGAGAACCAAGAGAUCCGUUGUUGAAAGUUUUAAAUAAAUUUUUCAUAAAACAGUCUUCAGAUUCAAAAUGUUUAUAAAUAAAAAGGUUUUAAUUAAAAACUUUUGGCCGAAAAAAAAAUAUAUAUAUAUAUAUAUAUUAAUUUCAGCCAAAGCAAAAAUUUCAUAAAAUUCACAGGUAUUUGAAAUAGAAAAAUGU
rnacentral:misc_RNA from 1 species